GAGUCAGUUCCCUUCUUGUUUUUAUUUAAUGCCAUCGUAUCAGCAUUUACCAGAACAUUUUUAUAAUGCCCCUUCUCUCCAGCUUCAGUUCAAGAGGAAGUGGCAAAGGCCAUAGACUCAGCUCACCCUCAGGGGCACAACUCUCACACUUUGCACAAAGAAAGAGAUAUCGUUUCCCACCCAGACCUCCAAACCCACCCACCAUUUACAUUCCAAGCCUGGGUCUAGGCAUGUGGUUGACAUAUAUUCUUGGUCUUCUUCACAACGGUGGCCAGCAAUAGAAUUUGAGCCAUUAAUUUCCGUUCUUUCCCAAAUGUGCUGAAAAGUCUUAGGUUGUAUUUUCAGCUUAAAGAAAUAUAGCUAGAUUUUUUUGAAAAUAUUUUAACUGAGAAAAAACCCUCAAAUAUUAGAUACUGGUUUUGAAAGUACCUAAA
rnacentral:lncRNA from 1 species